rnacentral:rRNA from 1 species
UACGUAGGGGGCUAGCGUUGUCCGGAAUCAUUGGGCGUAAAGCGCGUGUAGGCGGUCCGGUAAGUCCGCUGUGAAAGUCGAGGGCUCAACCCUGGAAAGCCGGUGGAUACUGUCGGGCUAGAGUCCGGAAGAGGCGAGUGGAAUUCCUGGUGUAGCGGUGGAAUGCGCAGAUAUCAGGAGGAGCACCGAUAGCGAAGGCAGCUCGCUGGGACGGUACUGACGCUGAGGUGCGAAAGCGUGGGGAGCGAACAGG